CGAGCUUCAGUCAUACUCCACACAAGCUUCUUCCUCUCUCUGUCGCACGAACAACUUCUUCUCUCCGUUGCACGAGCUUUUUCCGCUGUUGCCACCAUUCGCGUCGCACGAGCUUCCUCCGCCACCGCUCUCGUUGCAUAUGCUCCCUUCAUCGCCGUCAUCAUAGAGCUCUCUCUUGUUGCGUUUGCUCCCUUAGUGAAUUUCAGGUUUAUCAAUUGUUUUAUUAUCAGCGAAGAAAGAGAUUUUUUGUCGGUCAUUUCUGCAGCGAUUUGUGAAACUCGGUGGUUGUUGUUGAAUGGCGAAGCUUGGAAUGAUAGUUGACUCCGUUGGUAACUUCUUCUCUGGCAAAGACCAGCUUCCUUAGUGUGACCCUGACAUCGUCGCUGGGUGUGAGAGAGAGGUUGCUGAGGCUGGGAAGCAAUCCGAUGAGUUCUUGCAAGAGUGUCUUCUGCGAUUAUCGUGGGCUC